rnacentral:rRNA from 1 species
GGUUCGAUCAGUCAUGGCUCAGAUUGAACGCUGGCGGGAUGCUUUACACAUGCAAGUCGAACGGCAGCACGACUUCGGUCUGGUGGCGAGUGGCGAACGGGUGAGUAAUGUAUCGGAACGUGCCUAGUAGCGGAUAACUACGCGAGUGCGAAGCUAAUACCGCAUACGGCCCUUCGGGGGAAAGCGGGGACCUGGGCCUCGCACUAUUAGAGCGGCCGAUAUCGGAUUAGCUAGUUGGUGGGGUAACGGCUCACCAAGGCGACGAUCCGGUUUUGAGAGGACGACCAGCCACACUGGGACUGAGACACGGGCCCAGACUCCUACGGAGUGGUGGCAGGGGGAAUUUUUGGACAAUGGGGAAACCCCGAUCCAGCCAUCCCCGCGUAAAAGAUGAAGGCCUUCGGGUUGUAAAGCACUUUUUGCAGGAAAGAAACGUACGGGAUACCCCGUGCAACUGACGGUACCUGCAAGAAUAAGCACCGCCAACUACGCGCCAGCAGCCGCGGUAAUACGUAGGGUGCAAGCGUUAAUCGGAAUUACUUCGGGCGUAAAGCGUGCGCAGGCGGUUCGAAAGAAAGAGAAAUCCCAGAGCUUAACUUUGGAACUGCAUUUUUAACUACCGAGCUAGAGGUGGCCAGAGGGAGGUGGAAUUCCGUAGCAGUGAAUGCGUAGAUAUGCGGAGGAACACCGAUGGCGAAGGCAGCCUCCUGGGAUAACACUGACGCUCAUGACGAAAGCGUGGGGCAAACAGGAUUAGAUACCCUGGUAGUCCACGCCCUAAACGAUGUCAAUCUCGCUGUUGGGGCCUUCGGGCCUGGUAGCGCAGCUAACGCGGCUGACCGCCUGGGGAGUACGGCUGGUCGCAAGAUUAAAACCUCAAAGGAAUUGAUUUCCGGGACCGCACAAGCGGUGGAUGCGAUGAUUUACCUGAUGCAACGCGAAAACCUUUACCUACCCUUGAUGAUGUCUGGAAUCCCGAAGAGAUUUGGGGGAGUGCUCGCAAGAGAACCGGAACACAGGUGCUGCAUGGCUGUCGUCAGCUCGUGUCGUGAGAUGUUGGGUUAAGUCCCGCAACGAGUGCAACCUUGUCAUUAGUUGCUACGAAAGGGCACUCUAAUGAGACUGCCGGUGACAAACUGGAGGAAGGUGGGGAUGACGUCAAGUCCUCAUGGCCCUUAUGGGUAGGGAUUUCGCCACGUCAUACAAUGGUCGGGACAGAGGGUCGCCGACCCGCGAGGGGGAGCCAAUCCCAGAAACCCGAUCGUAGUCCGGAUCGCAGUCUGCAACUCGACUGCGGUGAAGUCGAACGCUGGUGACCGCGGAUCAGCAUGUCGCGGUGAAUACGUUCUCGGUCUUGUACACACCGCCCGUCACACCAUGGGAGUGGGUUUUACCAGAAGUAGUUAGCCUAACCGUAAGGAGGGCGAUUACCACGGUAGGAUUCAUGACUGGGUGAAGUCGUAACAAGGUAG